rnacentral:rRNA from 1 species
UACAGGGGGUGCAAACGUUGCUCGGAAUUACUGGGCGUAAAGGGCGCGUAGGCGGCGCGAUAAGUUGGGCGUGAAAGGCCCGGGCUCAACCCGGGGACUGCGCUUGAUACUGUCGCGCUGUGAGUCCGGGAGAGGAUGGCGGAAUUCCCAGUGUAGAGGUGAAAUUCGUAGAUAUUGGGAAGAACACCGGUGGCGAAGGCGGCCAUCUGGACCGGCACUGACGCUGAGGCGCGAAAGCGUGGGGAGCAAACAGG